GUGUCGGACGGACGCUGCAGAACAAUAUCGUCUGCUUCUCCACAUUCCUCCUGCUCAUCGUCACGGCGACGCUGCCGCCACAGCUACAGCCAGCGAACAGUGACACUACUCAUUAGUGUGUGUGUGUGUGUGUGUUCUGCUCUGUUGGUUUAAGCAUUAGCAGAGCUCUCAGCUGAGCUAUUCUCAUGUUAAUUCAGGAGUUGAGUGUUUAUUGUUGCUGCUCUGCUCUAAUGUUUGCUCUGCACAUAAACACAGAGUUUUUAUUACCAGCUGAAGUUCACUUGUCAAGACUCAUCUCAUUUAAACAGCUAUUCUUCUUCAGGACAGAGGAGCCGUGAGGCGGCGACACAAACUCCACAUCACUCAACCACAACUGUUCAUCUACUGAAUCUGUUCAGAGUUGUGGCUUCAACAAACCGAUGCUGUUACUGUUGUCUAAAGGUUUUUGUGUCCUGCACAGACAGACAGUUGCAGAUCCUCAGAGAGAGAGAAAGACUGCGGAGAGAGUGACAAAGCAAAGGUAUGAGGAAGGAAAACUCUCCUCCCUCUCUGUCACGACUUGGUCGGUUCACGAGGGUCAAAUGGACCGAGUCCAAGUUUUGGGUGAAGAAAGAAGAUGAAAGAAGAAGAAGAAGAAGAAGCGAGAGAAGGAAACGGAAAGUUUUUUUGUUUCCGCGGCGCUGCUGUGAUGUAAAUGUCCUUAUUUAGUAAUUUAUAAACGAGGGAAUUGAGCACAACACUGUGGAGAUUCAUCAACUAUUGAUGUGUCUAAUCUUUCAGAUCCUGCCAACAUGAUGAUGAUGAUGAUCUGUGUUACACACACACACACACACACACACACACACACACACACACACACACACACACACACACACGCACAGCUUCUCUCUCCGUCGUCACUUUCACUCAGAAAUAUUGUAAAUUGUCUGGAUGUGAAUGUGUAACGUGGUUGUCGUACUUUGGGAGUUUGAGUGUUUGAGAGAAAGUUUGUCUUUGUCAAAGCUGCUGAUAUAAACACAUGUCAUGUUUGUUGUUUAAAGAAAAAAAGAAAACUAAUAAAACCUCAGUCUGAACUGAAAACUCUUAUUAAACGCCAUAUUUCACACUUUUAUUCCGUGUCAUAAGAGCACAGGAGGGAAAAAAGAUGAUAGUUCUAAA